GUCAAACCAUAACAAAAAAUCAAGUAAAGAAUUUUAAGUAUUCAACCUUUAUAGCUUGCUGUUCGGUGUGAGCCAAGACUCCGUGUUGAAGGCCAUUUUUAUUUAUUUUCAAAUUACAAAGGUUAUUCCUGAUUAGUAUUUUUAAUUAUUUUAUUUAGGCGUUUAGAACCUUUGGUGACCUCACAGUUUAAAUUUCUAUGAUAAGUACGUCGUGAGUAGUGGGC
rnacentral:lncRNA from 1 species